AUACGGAGGAUCCGAGCGUUAUCCGGAUUUAUUGGGUUUAAAGGGUGCGCAGGCGGGAGAUUAAGUCGGCGGUGAAAUUUUGCAGCUCAACUGUAAAAGUGCCUUCGAAACUGGUUUCCUUGAGUGUAGAUGAAGUAGGCUGAAUUUGUGGUGUAGCGGUGAAAUGCAUAGAUAUCACGAGGAACUCCGAUUGCGCAGGCAGCUUACUAAACUACUACUGACGCUCAGGCACGAAGGCGUGGGGAUCAAACAGGAUUAGAUACCCUGGUAGUCCACGCAGUAAACGAUGAUUACUAGCUGUUUGCGAUACAAUGUAAGCGGCUGAGCGAAAGCGUUAAGUAAUCCACCUGGGGAGUACGUUCGCAAGAAUGAAACUCAAAGGAAUUGACGGGG
rnacentral:rRNA from 1 species